rnacentral:rRNA from 1 species
AUAAUUAAAGGGCCGCGGUAUUUUGACCGUGCGAAGGUAGCAUAAUCAUUAGUCUUUUAAUUGAAGGCUUGUAUGAAUGGUUGGACAAAAAGUAGACUGUCUCGUUUAUAUAAAUUGAAUUUAACUUUUAAGUGAAAAGGCUUAAAUGAACUGAAGGGACGAUAAGACCCUAUAAAGCUUUACAAUAAAUAAAUUAAAUUAUAAAUUAUUAGUUUAACUUAAUUUAAUUAAUGUUUGUUUCGUUGGGGCGACGAGAAUAUAAUAAUAACUGUUCUUUUGUAAAUUUAACAAAAUUAAUUGGAUAAAGAUUGAUCCUUUAAUAAAGAUUAAAAGAUUAAGUUACUUUAGGGAUAACAGCGUAAUCUUCUUUGAGAGUUCAAAUCGACAAGAAGGGUUGCGACCUCGAUGUUGAAUUAAGGGAUCCUUACAAUGCAGCAGUUGUAAAGGAAGGUCUGUUCG